rnacentral:rRNA from 1 species
CCUACGGGCGGCAGCAGUAGGGAAUAUUGCUCAAUGGGGGAAACCCUGAAGCAGCAAUUCCGCGUGGAGGAUGAAGGUUUUCGGAUUGUAAACUACUUUUGUACGAGAAGAUAAUGACGGUAUCUAACGAAUAAGCACCGGCUAACUCCGUGACAGCAGCCGCGGUAAUACGGAGGGUGAAAGCGUUAAUCGGAACCACUGGGCGUAAAGAGCGCGGAGGCGGGAUAGCAAGUCAGAUGUGAAAUCCUAUGGCUUAACCAUAGAACUGCAUUUGAAACUGUUAUUCUAGAGUAUGUGAGAGGUAGGUGGAAUUCUUGGUGGAGGAGUAAAAUCCGUAGAGAUCAAGAGGAAUACUCAUUGCGAAGGCGACCUGCUAGAACAUAACUGACGCUGAUGCGCGAAAGCGUGGGGAGCAAACAGGAUUAGAUACCCCAGUAGUC